rnacentral:rRNA from 1 species
GUGGGGAAUAUUGGACAAUGGGCGAAAGCCUGAUCCAGCAAUGCCGCGUGAGUGAUGAAGGCCUUAGGGUUGUAAAGCUCUUUUACCAGGGAUGAUAAUGACAGUACCUGGAGAAUAAGCUCCGGCUAACUCCGUGCCAGCAGCCGCGGUAAUACGGAGGGAGCUAGCGUUGUUAGGAAUUACUGGGCGUAAAGCGCACGUAGGCGGUUACUCAAGUCAGAGGUGAAAGCCCGGGGCUCAACCCCGGAACUGCCUUUGAAACUAGGUAACUAGAAUCUUGGAGAGGUCAGUGGAAUUCCGAGUGUAGAGGUGAAAUUCGUAGAUAUUCGGAAGAACACCAGUGGCGAAGGCGACUGACUGGACAAGUAUUGACGCUGAGGUGCGAAAGCGUGGGGAGCAAACAGGAUUAGAAACCCCUGUAGUCC